GAUGAACGCUGGCGGCGUGCCUAAUACAUGCAAGUCGAGCGAACAGACGAGGAGCUUGCUCCUCUGACGUUAGCGGCGGACGGGUGAGUAACACGUGGAUAACCUACCUAUAAUACUGGGAUAACUUCGGGAAACCGGAGCUAAUACCGGAUAAUAUAUUGAACCGCAUGGUUCAAUAGUGAAAGACGGUUUUGCUGUCACUUAUAGAUGGAUCCGCGCCGCAUUAGCUAGUUGGUAAGGUAACGGCUUACCAAGGCGACGAUGCGUAGCCGACCUGAGAGGGUGAUAGGCCACACUGGAACUGAGACACGGUCCAGACUCCUACGGGAGGCAGCAGUAGGGAAUCUUCCGCAAUGGGCGAAAGCCUGACGGAGCAACGCCGCGUGAGUGAUGAAGGUCUUCGGAUCGUAAAACUCUGUUAUUAGGGAAGAACAAAUGUGUAAGUAACUAUGCACGUCUUGACGGUACCUAAUCAGAAAGCCACGGCUAACUACGUG
rnacentral:rRNA from 1 species